GACGAACGCUGGCGGCGUGCUUAACACAUGCAAGUCGAACGAUGAAGCCGGAGCUUGCUCUGGUGAAUUAGUGGCGAACGGGUGAGUAACACGUGAGUAACCUGCCCUUGACUCUGGGAUAACUGCGGGAAACUGUAGCUAAUACCGGAUGCGACCCUCGGAGGCAUCUCCUGGGGGUGGAAAGAAUUUCGGUCAAGGAUGGACUCGCGGCCUAGCAGCUAGUUGGUGAGGUAAAGGCUCACCAAGGCGACGACGGGUAGCCGGCCUGAGAGGGGGACCGGCCACACUGGUACUGAGACACGGCCCAGACUCCUACGGGGGGCAGCAGUGGGGAAUAUUGCACAAUGGGCGAAAGCCUGAUGCAGCAACGCCGCGUGAGGGAUGACGGCCUUCGGGUUGUAAACCUCUUUUAGCAGGGAAGAAGCGAAAGUGACGGUACCUGCAGAAAAAGCACCGGCUAACUACGUGCCAGCCGCCGCAGUAA
rnacentral:rRNA from 1 species